rnacentral:rRNA from 1 species
CGGGGGAACUGAAACAUCUAAGUACCCCGAGGAAAAGAAAUCAACCGAGAUUCCCCCAGUAGCGGCGAGCGAACGGGGAGGAGCCCAGAGCCUGAAUCAGCAUGUGUGUUAGUGGAAGCGUCUGGAAAGGCGCGCGAUACAGGGUGACAGCCCCGUACACAAAAGCGCAUGUGCUGUGAGCUCGAUGAGUAGGGCGGGACACGUGGUAUCCUGUCUGAAUAUGGGGGGACCAUCCUCCAAGGCUAAAUACUCCUGACUGACCGAUAGUGAACCAGUACCGUGAGGGAAAGGCGAAAAGAACCCCGGCGAGGGGAGUGAAAAAGAACCUGAAACCGUGUACGUACAAGCAGUGGGAGCACAGGUUUACCUGUGUGACUGCGUACCUUUUGUAUAAUGGGUCAGCGACUUAUAUUCUGUAGCAAGGUUAACCGAAUAGGGGAGCCGGAGGGAAACCGAGUCUUAAUUGGGCGUUAAGUUGCAGGGUAUAGACCCGAAACCCGGUGAUCUAGCCAUGGGCAGGUUGAAGGUUGGGUAACACUAACUGGAGGACCGAACCGACUAAUGUUGAAAAAUUAGCGGAUGACCUGUGGCUGGGGGUGAAAGGCCAAUCAAACCGGGAGAUAGCUGGUUCUCCCCGAAAGCUAUUUAGGUAGCGCCUCGUGAACUCAUCUCCGGGGGUAGAGCACUGUUUCGGCUAGGGGGCCAUCCCGGCUUACCAACCCGAUGCAAACUGCGAAUACCGGAGAAUGUUAUCACGGGAGACACACGGCGGGUGCUAACGUCCGUCGUGAAGAGGGAAACAACCCAGACCGCCAGCUAAGGUCCCAAAGUCAUGGUUAAGUGGGAAACGAUGUGGGAAGGCCCAGACAGCCAGGAUGUUGGCUUAGAAGCAGCCAUCAUUUAAAGAAAGCGUAAUAGCUCACUGGUCGAGUCGGCCUGCGCGGAAGAUGUAACGGGGCUAAACCAUGCACCGAAGCUGCGGCAGCGAACGUAUCACUUAAAGCGAUUCAGCGGGUUACGAUUGACGGAGCGAAGCGACGUCAAAG